AUUGAACGCUGGCGGCAGGCCUAACACAUGCAAGUCGAGCGAGCGGCGGACGGGUGAGUAAUGUCUGGGAAACUGCCUGAUGGAGGGGGAUAACUACUGGAAACGGUAGCUAAUACCGCAUACCAUCAGAUGUGCCCAGAUGGGAUUAGCUCGUAGGUGGGGUAACGGCUCACCUAGGCGACGAUCCCUAGCUGGUCUGAGAGGAUGACCAGCAACAUUGGAACUGAGACACGGCCCAUACUCCGACGGGAGGCAGCAGUGGGGAAUAUUGCACAAUGGGAGAAAGACUGAUGCAGCCAUGCCGGGGGGGUUAAGAAGGCCUUCGGGUUGUAAAGCACUUUCAGCGGGGAGGCGUUACCCGCAGAAGAAGCACCGGCUAACUCCGUGCCAGCAGCCGCGGUAAUAC
rnacentral:rRNA from 1 species